rnacentral:rRNA from 1 species
AACGAACGCUGGCGGCAUGCCUAACACAUGCAAGUCGAACGAGACCUUCGGGUCUAGUGGCGCACGGGUGCGUAACGCGUGGGAACCUGCCCUUAGGUUCGGAAUAACUCCCCGAAAGGGGUGCUAAUACCGGAUAAUGUCUUCGGACCAAAGAUUUAUCGCCUUUGGAUGGGCCCGCGUUGGAUUAGCUAGUUGGUAGGGUAAAAGCCUACCAAGGCGACGAUCCAUAGCUGGUCUGAGAGGAUGAUCGGCCACACUGGGACUGAGACACGGCCCAGACUCCUACGGGAGGCAGCAGUGGGGAAUAUUGGACAAUGGGCGAAAGCCUGAUCCAGCAAUGCCGCGUGAGUGAUGAAGGCCUUAGGGUUGUAAAGCUCUUUUACCCGGGAUGAUAAUGACAGUACCGGGAGAAUAAGCUCUGGCUAACUCCGUG